UACGGAGGGUGCGAGCGUUGUCCGGAAUCACUGGGCGUAAAGGGCGCGUAGGCGGCCUGAUAAGUAGGGGGUGAAAUCCUGCGGCUUAACCGCAGGGGCUGCCUUCUAAACUGUCAGGCUUGAGCACAGUAGAGGCAGGUGGAAUUCCCGGUGUAGCGGUGGAAUGCGUAGAGAUCGGGAAGAACAUCAGUGGCGAAGGCGGCCUGCUGGGCUGUUGCUGACGCUGAGGCGCGACAGCGUGGGGAGCAAACAGG
rnacentral:rRNA from 1 species